UCAUCCUGGUCAACAACUCCUAAUCACACCUCUAGUGCUACAAACCCUAGUCAGCAACCCAUAACCACACAUGCACUAUCCUAGUCAACAAACCCUAAUCACUCUCAUAAGGUCAUCAUAAUCCUAUUAACACAACCUUUGCUAAUGGGCCUUAAUUAUCAUAAUCCUAUUAACACACAACCUUUGCUAAUGGGCCUUAAUUAUCAUAAACCUAUUAGAACACACAACCUUUGUUAAUUGGCCUUAAUCUUUCAUAAACACAAAACUUUUACCUAAAAUCCUAACUAAUUUGUAACUUCAUUACGUAAUUGUAUAAUUAGCUAAUAAACAAUCAUUAUUUAACUAAAUAAAAAUAUGUGUGAUUUUUUAAAUAAAAACCCACAUAUAUUAUUAACAUUAAAUUUUGUUUCGGAGGUCAUUAUUAGGAGAUUUUUCCGAAAAAAAAAUUACUCCAUCUCAUC
rnacentral:lncRNA from 1 species